rnacentral:rRNA from 1 species
UACGGGGGGUAAGGCGUUGUUCGGAAUUACUGGGCGUAAAGGGCGCGUAGGCGGCCUGUUAAGUCGAACGUGAAAUCCCUGGGCUCAACCCAGGGACUGCGUCCGAUACUGGCAGGCUUGAAUUCGGGAGAGGGAUGCGGAAUUCCAGGUGGUAGCGGUGAAAUGCGUAGAUAUACAGGAGGAACACCGAUGGCGAAGGCAGGUCUCUGGGCCGAUACUGACGCUGAGGAGCGAAAGCGUGGGGAGCGAACAGG